rnacentral:rRNA from 1 species
AGGGUUUAAUCCUGGGUCAGAAGGAACGCUAGCUAUAUACUUAACACGUGCAAGUCGAACGUUGUUUUUAGAGAGAUGGGCAGAAGGAAAAGAGGCUCUUAGAUAAAGGUAUCUUGUCUCUCCCAGGAGGUGAGAAGAGUUGAGAACAAAGUGGCAAACGGGUGUGUAAUGUAUAGGAACCUGCUGAAUAGUUCAAGCCAAAUCUUGAAGAAAGAAAAAAAUGUUGUUUAAUGAGUUUGCAUAGUAUUAGGUAACUUUUUAGGUAAAGGCUAACCAAGACAUGAUGCUUAUCUAGUCUUUUCAUAUGAUCAUUCAUACGGGGACUGAGACAUAUCCCAUCUCCCAUGGAGGGCAGCAGUGGGGAAUAUUGGACAAUGGGCGAAAGUUGAUCCAGCAAUAUCGUGUGAGUGAAAAAGGGCCAUGCCUCUUAUAAAGCUAUUUAUUUAAGUGUGUGAUCAUGAUAUAACUCAAUAAAUAAGCCUCGGAUAACUCCAUUUUAGUAACCGCGGUAAGAUCGGGGGUACAAGUGUUCUUUAAAAUGACUGGGCGUAAAGGGAACGUAGAUGGUGAAUUGGGUUGAAAGUGAAAGUCACCAAAAACUACAGAAUGCUCUCAAAACCAAUUCACUUGAGUGAUAUAGAGGAGAGUGUAAUUCAUAUGUAUGGGUGAAAUUUGGAUAUCUACGAAUGAAUGCCAAAAGUGAAGGUAGCUCUCUGGGUCCCUAGUGAUGCUGAGGUGUGAAUGCAUAGGGAGCAAACAAGAUUAGAUACACUAGUAGUCCAUGCCGUAUAUAAUAAGUGUUUUCCAAUGGUCUACAUAGAUUGAGAGCUGAGAUAAUGCAUGAAACACUCCACCUGGGGAGUACGGUCGCAAGACAAAAACUAAAAGGAAUUAACGGGGGCCUGCACAAGUGGUUGAGCAUGUGGUUUAAUUUGAUACAAUGCGCAUAACCUUACCAACCCUUGAUAUAUUAACAAGAAAACCUAUCCUUAACGGGAUGGUACUGACUUUCAUAUAGGUGCUACAUGGCUAUCAUCAGCUCAUGUCGUGAAAUGUUUGGUCAAGUUCUAUAAUGAGAAAAACCCUUAUUUUGUGUUGCUGAGACAUGCACCUAAGGAGAAUGUCCUUACAAUAAAAGUAAGCUGAGGAUCCAAGUGGCAUGCCAGCCCUACUAAUUGAGUGCCAGCACCUAGCUGUGCUGUUAGUAAGAAGGUGGUCAGCGCCUUUUAGAUACCCAGGUGGUCUUGGGUCCUUAAGGGUUAGAUAUAUUCCCUUUAGGUCUCUAAAUCCAUACACCUUUAGAUGUUUGUCUACAGCUAUAUGAUUUGUG